rnacentral:rRNA from 1 species
AUUGAACGCUGGCGGCAGGCCUAACACAUGCAAGUCGAACGAGUGGCGGACGGGUGAGUAAUGUCUGGGAAACUGCCUGAUGGAGGGGGAUAACUACUGGAAACGGUAGCUAAUACCGCAUACCAUCAGAUGUGCCCAGAUGGGAUUAGCUAGUUGGUGGGGUAAAGGCUCACCAAGGCGACGAUCCCUAGCUGGUCUGAGAGGAUGACAAGCCACGCUGGAACAUGAACACGGUCCAGACUCCUACAGGAGGGAGCAGUGGGGAAUAUUGAACAAUGGGAGCAAGCCUGAUGCAGCCAUGCCGCGUGUAUGAAGAAGGCCUUCGGGUUGUAAAGUACUUUCGGCGGAGAGGCGUUACCCACAGAAGAAGCACCGGCUAACUCCGUGCCAGCAGCCGCGGUAAUUC